AGCUUUUUAUUUUAUACCUUGUCAUGCAUUAUCGGAGUAAAAUAAUGUCUAUGCUUUUUGUCUUGGUGACGUUACUCUUGGGACUUCAUUUUUUUACAUCAGUUCCCGCUCAGAGACCAACGCCUGUUGUAAAAACUUUGCUGCUCUGAUUAUCACAGAAUAAUGUGUUUCCCCAAAAAUAGUGCAAUGAAAGCAAUCAGAAAUGGAAUCAAAUCGAACAGGA